AACGAACGCUGGCGGCAGGCCUAACACAUGCAAGUCGAGCGGGGUUUUCGGACCUAGCGGCGGACGGGUGAGUAAUGCGUAGGAAGCUACCCGAUAGAGGGGGAUACCAGUUGGAAACGACUGUUAAUACCGCAUAAUGUCUACGGACCAAAGUGUGGGACCUUCGGGCCACAUGCUAUCGGAUGCGCCUACGUGGGAUUAGCUAGUUGGUGGGGUAAUGGCUCACCAAGGCGACGAUCCCUAGCUGGUUUGAGAGGAUGAUCAGCCACACUGGAACUGAGACACGGUCCAGACUCCUACGGGAGGCAGCAGUGGGGAAUAUUGGACAAUGGGCGCAAGCCUGAUCCAGCCAUGCCGCGUGUGUGAAGAAGGCCUUCGGGUUGUAAAGCACUUUCAGUAGGGAGGAAGGAUGUUGUGUUAAUAGCACAGCAUUUUGACGUUACCUACAGAAGAAGCACCGGCUAACUCUGUGCCAGCCGCCGCGGUAAGAC
rnacentral:rRNA from 1 species